UGGGAAUAUUGGACAAUGGGCGCAAGCCUGAUCCAGCAACGCCGCGUGGAGGAUGAAGGUCUUCGGAUCGUAAACCCCUGUCAGGUGGGACGAAGGCAGGGGGGUGAAUAAUCUUCCUGUUUGACGGUACCACCAGAGGAAGCCCCGGCUAACUCCGUGCCAGCAGCCGCGGUAAUACGGAGGGGCGAGCGUUAUUCGGAAUUAUUGGGCGUAAAGGGCGCGUAGGCGGCUUGACAAGUCAAAGGUGAAAUCCCUCGGCUCAACUGAGGAACUGCCUUUGAAACUGUCUGGCUUGAGGCCGGGAGAGGGUAGCGGAAUUCCCAGUGUAGCGGUGAAAUGCGUAGAUACUGGGAGGAACACCGGUGGCGAAAGGCGGCUACCUGGACCGGUUCUGACGCUGAUGCGCGAAAGCGUGGGUAGCAAACAGGAUUAGAUACCCUGGUAGUCCACGCUGUAAACGAUGGGUGCUCGGUGUCGCGGGUAUCGA
rnacentral:rRNA from 1 species